rnacentral:rRNA from 1 species
AUUGAACGCUGGCGGCGAUGCUUACACAUGCAAGUCGAACGGCAGCACGGGAGCAAUCCUGGUGGCGGAGUGGCGAACGGGUGAGUAAUAUAUCGGAACGUGCCCAGUCGUGGGGGAUAACGUAGCGAAAGCUACGCUAAUACCGCAUACGAUCUAUGGAUGAAAGCGGGGGAUCGCAAGACCUCGCGCGAUUGGAGCGGCCGAUAUCAGAUUAGGUAGUUGGUGAGGUAAAGGCUCACCAAGCCGACGAUCUGUAGCUGGUCUGAGAGGACGACCAGCCACACUGGGACUGAGACACGGCCCAGACUCCUACGGGAGGCAGCAGUGGGGAAUUUUGGACAAUGGGCGCAAGCCUGAUCCAGCAAUGCCGCGUGCAGGAUGAAGGCCUUCGGGUUGUAAACUGCUUUUGUACGGAACGAAACGGUGAGCUCUAAUACAGUUUGCUAAUGACGGUACCGUAAGAAUAAGCACCGGCUAACUACGUG